AUUGAACGCUGGCGGCAGGCCUAACACAUGCAAGUCGAACGGUAACAGGAAGAAGCUUGCUUCUUUGCUGACGAGUGGCGGCCGGGUGAGUAAUGUCUGGGAAACUGCCUGAUGGAGAGGGAUAACUACUGGAAACGGUAGCUAAUACCGCAUAACGUCGCAAGACCAAAGAGGGGGACCUUCGGGCCUCUUGCCAUCGGAUGUGCCCAGAUGGGAUUAGCUAGUAGGUGGGGUAACGGCUCACCUAGGCGACGAUCCCUAGCUGGUCUGAGAGGAUGACCAGCCACACUGGAACUGAGACACGGUCCAGACUCCUACGGGAGGCAGCAGUGGGGAAUACUGCACAAUGGGCGCAAGCCUGAUGCAGCCAUGCCGCGUGUAUGAAGAAGGCCUUCGGGUUGUAAAGUACUUUCAGCGGGGAGGAAGGGAGUAAAGUUAAUACCUUUGCUCAUUGACGUUACCCGCAGAAGAAGCACCGGCUAACUCCGUG
rnacentral:rRNA from 1 species